rnacentral:rRNA from 1 species
GAUGAACGCUAGCUACAGGCUUAACACAUGCAAGUCGAGGGGCAGCAUGAUUGAAGCUUGCUUCAAUUGAUGGCGACCGGCGCACGGGUGAGUAACACGUAUCCAACCUUCCGUACACUCAGGGAUAGCCUUUCGAAAGAAAGAUUAAUACCUGAUGGUAUCUUAAGCACACAUGUAAUUAAGAUUAAAGAUUUAUCGGUGUACGAUGGGGAUGCGUUCCAUUAGGUAGUAGGCGGGGUAACGGCCCACCUAGCCUACGAUGGAUAGGGGUUCUGAGAGGAAGGUCCCCCACAUUGGAACUGAGACACGGUCCAAACUCCUACGGGAGGCAGCAGUGAGGAAUAUUGGUCAAUGGACGAGAGUCUGAACCAGCCAAGUAGCGUGAAGGAUGAAGGUCCUACGGAUUGUAAACUUCUUUAUAAGGGAAUAAAACCUCCCACGUGUGGGAGCUUGUAUGUACCUUAUGAAUAAGCAUCGGCUAACUCCGUGCCAGCAGCCGNGGU